rnacentral:tRNA from 1 species
GCCUGUCUAGCUCAGUUGGUAGAGCGCUCUUAACCUUGUGGUCUUGGGUUCGAGCCCCAAGGUGGGCG